CCCUUAGAUGGUCUGGGCGGCACGCGCGCUACAAUGAUGCAUUGAAAAAGUCUUCUGACCUUAGAAGGUUGGGUAUUCUCCAAAGUGCAUCGUGAUGGGAAUAGUUUAUUGCAAUUUUUAAUCUUGAACGAGGAAUUCCUAUUAAGUACAGGUCAUCAACUUGUGUUGAUUACGUCCCUGCCCUUUGUACACACCGCCCGUCCCUCCUACUGAUUGAGUGUCUCGGUGAAUUCUUUGAUCUUCUGUCGAUUCAGUUCACUGAUCCGACGGUGGAAAGUUGGAUGAACUUCGUCACUUAGAGGAAGGAGAAGUCGUAACA
rnacentral:rRNA from 1 species